GCGACGGUCAUCCAAUGGAAGGAUGCCGGCUGGUUGAGCCGGUCACGCGGGUUCGAUUCCCGCUCGUCGCC
rnacentral:tRNA from 1 species